AGCGUACACGGUGGAUGCCCUGGCAGUCAGAGGCGAUGAAGGACGUGCUAAUCUGCGAUAAGCGUCGGUAAGGUGAUAUGAACCGUUAUAACCGGCGAUUUCCGAAUGGGGAAACCCAGUGUGUUUCGACACACUAUCAUUAACUGAAUCCAUAGGUUAAUGAGGCGAACCGGGGGAACUGAAACAUCUAAGUACCCCGAGGAAAAGAAAUCAACCGAGAUUCCCCCAGUAGCGGCGAGCGAACGGGGAGGAGCCCAGAGCCUGAAUCAGUGUGUGUGUUAGUGGAAGCGUCUGGAAAGGCGCGCGAUACAGGGUGACAGCCCCGUACACAAAAAUGCACAUACUGUGAGCUCGAUGAGUAGGGCGGGACACGUGGUAUCCUGUCUGAAUAUGGGGGGACCAUCCUCCAAGGCUAAAUACUCCUGACUGACCGAUAGUGAACCAGUACCGUGAGGGAAAGGCGAAAAGAACCCCGGCGAGGGGAGUGAAAAAGAACCUGAAACCGUGUACGUACAAGCAGUGGGAGCCUCUUAAUGGGGUGACUGCGUACCUUUUGUAUAAUGGGUCAGCGACUUAUAUUCUGUAGCAAGGUUAACCGAAUAGGGGAGCCGAAGGGAAACCGAGUCUUAACUGGGCGUUAAGUUGCAGGGUAUAGACCCGAAACCCGGUGAUCUAGCCAUGGGCAGGUUGAAGGUUGGGUAACACUAACUGGAGGACCGAACCGACUAAUGUUGAAAAAUUAGCGGAUGACUUGUGGCUGGGGGUGAAAGGCCAAUCAAACCGGGAGAUAGCUGGUUCUCCCCGAAAGCUAUUUAGGUAGCGCCUCGUGAAUUCAUCUCCGGGGGUAGAGCACUGUUUCGGCAAGGGGGUCAUCCCGACUUACCAACCCGAUGCAAACUGCGAAUACCGGAGAAUGUUAUCACGGGAGACACACGGCGGGUGCUAACGUCCGUCGUGAAGAGGGAAACAACCCAGACCGCCAGCUAAGGUCCCAAAGUCAUGGUUAAGUGGGAAACGAUGUGGGAAGGCCCAGACAGCCAGGAUGUUGGCUUAGAAGCAGCCAUCAUUUAAAGAAAGCGUAAUAGCUCACUGGUCGAGUCGGCCUGCGCGGAAGAUGUAACGGGGCUAAACCAUGCACCGAAGCUGCGGCAGCGACGCUUAUGCGUUGUUGGGUAGGGGAGCGUUCUGUAAGCCUGUGAAGGUGGCCUGUGAGGGUUGCUGGAGGUAUCAGAAGUGCGAAUGCUGACAUAAGUAACGAUAAAGCGGGUGAAAAGCCCGCUCGCCGGAAGACCAAGGGUUCCUGUCCAACGUUAAUCGGGGCAGGGUGAGUCGACCCCUAAGGCGAGGCCGAAAGGCGUAGUCGAUGGGAAACAGGUUAAUAUUCCUGUACUUGGUGUUACUGCGAAGGGGGGACGGAGAAGGCUAUGUUGGCCGGGCGACGGUUGUCCCGGUUUAAGCGUGUAGGCUGGUUUUCCAGGCAAAUCCGGAAAAUCAAGGCUGAGGCGUGAUGACGAGGCACUACGGUGCUGAAGCGACAAAUGCCCUGCUUCCAGGAAAAGCCUCUAAGCAUCAGGUAACAUUAAAUCGUACCCCAAACCGACACAGGUGGUCAGGUAGAGAAUACCAAGGCGCUUGAGAGAACUCGGGUGAAGGAACUAGGCAAAAUGGUGCCGUAACUUCGGGAGAAGGCACGCUGAUAUGUAGGUGAAGCGACUUGCUCGUGGAGCUGAAAUCAGUCGAAGAUACCAGCUGGCUGCAACUGUUUAUUAAAAACACAGCACUGUGCAAACACGAAAGUGGACGUAUACGGUGUGACGCCUGCCCGGUGCCGGAAGGUUAAUUGAUGGGGUUAGCGGUAACGCGAAGCUCUUGAUCGAAGCCCCGGUAAACGGCGGCCGUAACUAUAACGGUCCUAAGGUAGCGAAAUUCCUUGUCGGGUAAGUUCCGACCUGCACGAAUGGCGUAAUGAUGGCCAGGCUGUCUCCACCCGAGACUCAGUGAAAUUGAACUCGCUGUGAAGAUGCAGUGUACCCGCGGCAAGACGGAAAGACCCCGUGAACCUUUACUAUAGCUUGACACUGAACAUUGAGCCUUGAUGUGUAGGAUAGGUGGGAGGCUUUGAAGUGUGGACGCCAGUCUGCAUGGAGCCGACCUUGAAAUACCACCCUUUAAUGUUUGAUGUUCUAACGUGGGCCCCUUACCGGGGUUGCGGACAGUGUCUGGUGGGUAGUUUGACUGGGGCGGUCUCCUCCUAAAGAGUAACGGAGGAGCACGAAGGUUGGCUAAUCCUGGUCGGACAUCAGGAGGUUAGUGCAAUGGCAUAAGCCAGCUUGACUGCGAGCGUGACGGCGCGAGCAGGUGCGAAAGCAGGUCAUAGUGAUCCGGUGGUUCUGAAUGGAAGGGCCAUCGCUCAACGGAUAAAAGGUACUCCGGGGAUAACAGGCUGAUACCGCCCAAGAGUUCAUAUCGACGGCGGUGUUUGGCACCUCGAUGUCGGCUCAUCACAUCCUGGGGCUGAAGUAGGUCCCAAGGGUAUGGCUGUUCGCCAUUUAAAGUGGUACGCGAGCUGGGUUUAGAACGUCGUGAGACAGUUCGGUCCCUAUCUGCCGUGGGCGCUGGAGAACUGAGGGGGGCUGCUCCUAGUACGAGAGGACCGGAGUGGACGCAUCACUGGUGUUCGGGUUGUCAUGCCAAUGGCACUGCCCGGUAGCUAAAUGCGGAAGAGAUAAGUGCUGAAAGCAUCUAAGCACGAAACUUGCCCCGAGAUGAGUUCUCCCUGACUCCUUGA
rnacentral:rRNA from 1 species